CUUGACCGCUGGCGGCAGGCCUAACACAUGCAAGUCGAGCGAAUGGCGGACGGGUGAGUAAUGUCUGGGAAACUGCCUGAUGGAGGGGGCUAACUCCUGGAAACGGUAGCUAAUACCGCAUACCAUCAGCUGUGCCCAGAUGGGAUUAGCUAGUUGGUGGGGUAAUGGCGCACAUAGGCGACGAUCCCUAGCUGGUCUGAGAGGCUGACCAGCCAAAGUGUAACAGAGACAAGGUCCAGACGCCUACGGGAGGCAGCAGUGGGGAAUAUGGCACAAGGGGCGAAAGCCUGAGGGAGCAAUGUCGCGUGUGUGAAGAAGGCCUUCGGGUUGUAAAGAAGUUUCAGCGAGGAGGCGUUACUCGAAGAAGAAGCACCGGCUAACUCCGUGCCAGCAGCCGCGGUAAUUC
rnacentral:rRNA from 1 species